ACUUGAAAACUUGUGAAGGUGACAGAUUCAUUAAAGUUAUUGUUAGGUUGAAUGACUUCUGAUAAAAUGAGUGCCACACCUGACAAACUGGUAGAGUUCAAGGAGUGUGAGAGGUUUGCUCGUCGCAAUGCCCUACCAGAACAAAGCAUCAUGCCUGAUAUCAUAGGGCCAAUACUGGAGACAACAACUAUCUCGUCGGAGGAAGGCACGUCAGCGGAAACCUGUCCCGAGAUCAAAGCUAAAACUUAACAUCACCCCUCUACAACAUCCACUAUUUCAGAAAAACUAAAUCUCAGUGUCAAAGUCCAGUGCCACUAAAUCUCUGUGUCAUGGAAUGUCCGGGACGAGUGAUUUUUAAGGUUUUUAAGACGAAAAUUGAGAGACUAGAGCCUAAGUGAGAGAUAAAGUGAAUUUAUUGAACUCAAGACACCAUAUAAGGUGUUGCUACAUGGGGACACUAUCACCUAAAACAACCAAACGAUGUGUAUGGUCGGUUGAAGAGAAUGACAAGUGAUUUAUAGUCUUCAGUGAUAUUUACCAAGGAACUUAGGACUUAACUUAAGUGUUACUCCGCAAAGACUUCGAUGUAUUAGUAUUUUUAAAUACUAGCCAUAACAGUGCUGUUUGUUUUUGUUUGUUGUUUGCGGUUUAAAAGAAUGACUCAUGAAUUUAUAGUGAGCACUUUAAAGUACAAUCUAGUGAAUCGUCCAUUGAAGGUCGCAUUUUUGUAUUUUUAUCAAGAUUUUUGAUGACCACAAACUUUUUCCAGCAGAAAAACUGUGAUUGUUUAAUGUGCCAGUUUAUCUUAGAUUUCUUACAACGAUAUGACUAACUGUAAUAUUCAUUAGUAGAUAAAUGCUCUUUUUGGUUUAUCAAAAAAUGA